AGAGUUUGAUCCUGGCUCAGGACGAACGCUGGCGGCGUGGAUUAGGCAUGCAAGUCGAGCGCGAACGAAUAGCUUCGGUUAUUUUGGUGGAGUGGCGAACGGGUGAGUAACGCGUAGGUAGUCUACCUUUAAGAGGGGGACAGCCCCGGGAAACCGGGAUUGGUACCGCGUGUGCCGGAGACGGUAAAGGUGGCCUCUGCUUCGGGCUACCGCUUAAAGAUGAGCCUGCGUCCUAUUGGUUGGUUGGUGAGGUAAGGGCUCACCAGGGCGAUGAUAGGUAGGCGGCCUUAACGGGUGGUCGCCCACGCUGGGAUUGAGAUGCGGCCCAGACUCCUACGGGAGGCAGCGGUCGAGAGUGGUCUGCAGUGGGGGAAGCCCUGAUAGUGCGACGCCGCGUGCACGAAGAAACCUUUCGGGGCGUAAAGUGCUUUUCUAUGUGAGCAGUGUACUGUUUUUUGGUGGUUAGCAGUAGGAGAUGUUAGUAUAGGAAUAAGCCACGGCUAACUCCGUGCCAGCAGCCGCGGUAGUACGGGGGUGGCAAGCGUUGUCCGAAUCACUAGGCGUAAAGGGCAAGUAGGCGGAAUUAUAAGUCAGAUGUCAAGGGCGUUGGCUCGACCAGCGUACGGCAUUUGAUACUGUAACUCUAGAGUAAGGUAUGGGAAGACGGAAUUCCUGGUGUAGCGGUGGAGUGCGCAGAUAUCAGGAAGAGCACCGGUGGCGAGGGCAGUCUUCUGGGCCAUUACUGACGCUAAAUUGCGAAGGUGCGGGUGUCGAGCAGGAUUGGGUGCCCUGGUAGUCCACACAGUAAACGAUAUGCACUAGGCGUCGGGGGGACAGGCCCUUCGGUGCCGCAGCUAACGCGUUAAGUGCAUCGCCUGGGGAGUACGAUCGCAAGGUUAAAACUCAAAGGAAUUGACGGGGGCCCGCACAAGCGGUGGAGCAUGUGGUUUAGUUCGAUGCAGCGCGAAGAGCCUUACCUGGACUUGACAUCUCUGGAAUUUGGUAGAGAUACCUUAGUGCCUCUUUGAGGAACCAGAAGACAGGUGCUGCAUGGCUGUCGUCGGCUCGUGUCGUGAGAUGUUGGGUUAGGUCCCGCAGCGAGCGCAACCCCUAUCUCUAGUUACCGGCGGGUCGUGCCGGGCGCUUUAGAGAGACUGCCAGUGUGGUGAACUGGAGGGAGGUGGGGACGACGUCAAGUCAUCAUGGUCCUUACGUCCAGGGCUACACACGUGCUACAAUGGCCGGUACGGUGGGUUGCUAGGCAGCAAUGUCACGCUGGUCUCAGGGAACCGGUCUCAGUUCGGAUUGGAGUCUGCAGCUCGACUCCAUGAAGUUGGAAUCGCUAGUAAUCGCGUAUCGGCGUGACGCGGUGAAUACGUUCCCGGGCCUUGUACGCACCGCCCGUCAAGUCAGCCGAGUUGAGUGCACCCGAAGGAGGUGAGCUAGCCGCAAGGAAGCAGCUUUCGAAGGUGUGCUUAGCAAGGGGGACUAAGUCGUAACAAGGUA
rnacentral:rRNA from 1 species